GAUGAACGCUGGCGGCGUGCCUAAUACAUGCCAGUCGAGCGAACAGACGAGGAGCUUGCUCCUCUGACGUUAGCGGCGGACGGGUGAGUAACACGUGGAUAACCUACCUAUAAGACUGGGAUAACUUCGGGAAACCGGAGCUAAUACCGGAUAAUAUAUUGAACGGCAUGGUUCAAUAGUGAAAGCCGGUUUUGCUGUCACUUAUAGAUGGAUCCGCGCCGCAUUAGCUAGUUGGUAAGGUAACGGCUUACCAAGGCGACGAUGCGUAGCCGACCUGAGAGGGUGAUCGGCCACACUGGAACUGAGACACGGUCCAGACUCCUACGGGAGGCAGCAGUAGGGAAUCUUCCGCAAUGGGCGAAAGCCUGACGGAGCAACGCCGCGUGAGUGAUGAAGGUCUUCGGAUCGUAAAACUCUGUUAUUAGGGAAGAACAAAUGUGUAAGUAACUAUGCACGUCUUGACGGUACCUAAUCAGAAAGCCACGGCUAACUACGUG
rnacentral:rRNA from 1 species